rnacentral:rRNA from 1 species
UACGAAGGGGGCUAGCGUUGCUCGGAAUCACUGGGCGUAAAGGGUGCGUAGGCGGGUCUUUAAGUCAGGGGUGAAAUCCUGGAGCUCAACUCCAGAACUGCCUUUGAUACUGAGGAUCUUGAGUUCGGGAGAGGUGAGUGGAACUGCGAGUGUAGAGGUGAAAUUCGUAGAUAUUGGGAAAAGAACCACGGUGGCGAAGGCGGCUCACUGGCUCGUAUCUGACGCUCAGGCGCGACAGCGUGGGGAUCAAACAGG